GAUGAAUGCUGGCGGCGUGUCUAAGGCAUGCAAGUCGUGCGGAUCGUCUUCGGUAGCAAUACCGGAGACGGUCAGCGGCAAACGGGUGCGUAACACAUUGGCAAUCUGCCUCACAGUCGGGCAUAAGCCCCCGAAAGGGGGUCUAAUUCCACGAUGGGCAUGCGGGGACAUAUGUCAUUCGCAUGUAAAGCGCAAAACGCGCUGUGAGAGGAGCCUAUGGCCUAUCAGCUUGUGGCGGGUAACGCCCACAAGGCGAUGACGGGUAGGGAUGUGAGAGCAUGAUCCCCCU
rnacentral:rRNA from 1 species